UCUCUCCACAGGGCUGACAGCUCCCUGCAGCGUGUGUGCCACCGUCAGGGGAGAUCUCGAGAAAAAAAGAAGACCCUCUUCAGGAAGGAAGCUGCUUAUGUGGAUUUCCUGACAGCUUGGAUGGAUUGUCUUUUCUUCUGCUCUCUGCACUGAGAGUAUUUAGGUGGGAACAACCCAAAGAUUUUAAGUCAGCAAGUCCAUUCCCAGGGCUGAGAAUGCAAGAUGCAAAUAUCGCCCAGGGAUGAGGAUGCAUGGAGUCACCAGCUGUGUGUCCUGGGGUUCAGUGACUCAGAAGCUCCUGGGCCUUCAGGUCUGAUUUCUGCAGAGUUUGUCCCCAGCUGUCCUUCCAAGAGUCCCUGGCCUGACCUGAUCCCUUUCCUGCCUCCACCUCGGCCCUGGCAAAUAUCCUUGCACCUCACCUGCAAGGGACAAAUAAGAUAUGGUGAAGCAGAACCAGUCCCAGGAUCCUGGGCUCAAGCUCUGACUCUGUCACUUAAUUCUCUAAUUGAGAAUGAGGACCCAGCCUUGCCGUCUUCAUCUGCUAACAGGGCCGACAGUGCCUCACUGCCUGCCGCACAGGACUAUUCAUGAGGAUGAAAACGGAAUUGUGAAUUUUCUCCCUCCCCACCCCUUUCUAAGCUAUAAGGUGUCUGUCUACAGGGUCUGUAUCUUUUUAUUCCUGUCCUAAGCCCCGGGCUUAGGACCUCACUCCUGUAAUGUUCCCCAUGAAUGUUUGAUGACCGACUGAAGUAGCAUAUGAAGAGUCUCUGUGUAAUUACAGGUGACACCUGUCAGAGGCUCCAAGACCCAGAGAUGUCCAAAGACAUUCUAUUAAAUGAGAUGGAAAUUAAAUGACAAACCAGGCCGGUGUGCUGGAGGCAGAGAAGGACAGCACUCCGGAAUCCAGGGGCGUCAGCAGGCUCUAUUCCAAGUCUGUUUUUGAGCAAAUGGUGGAGCCCAGUGAACCUUGGACAUGAAGCUCUUUCCAAAUGAGUCUUUAAUAAAAUUUAGCCUAAUACAAAUUGAGCCUAAUUA
rnacentral:lncRNA from 12 species